rnacentral:rRNA from 1 species
AGUGAGGAAUAUUGCACAAUGGGGGGAAACCCUGAUGCAGCAACGCCGCGUGGAGGAUGACGCAUUUCGGUGUGUAAACUCCUUUUAUAUGUCAAGAAAAUGACGGUAGCAUAUGAAUAAGCACCGGCUAACUCCGUGCCAGCAGCCGCGGUAAUACGGAGGGUGCAAGCGUUACUCGGAAUCACUGGGCGUAAAGGACGCGUAGGCGGGUUGGAAAGUCAGAUGUGAAAUCCUACAGCUUAACUGUAGAACUGCAUUUGAAACUUCUAAUCUAGAGUAUGGGAGGGGGAGAUGGAAUUAGUGGUGUAGGGGUAAAAUCCGUAGAUAUCACUAGGAAUACCGAAAGCGAAGGCGAUCUCCUGGAACAUAACUGACGCUAAGGCGUGAAAGCGUGGGGAGCAAACAGGAUUAGAUACCCUGGUAGUCCACGCCCUAAACGAUGAACACUAGUCGUCGGGAUGCUAGUCAUCUCGGUGAUGCACUUAACAGAUUAAGUGUUCCGCCUGGGGAGUACGGUCGCAAGAUUAAAACUCAAAGGAAUAGACGGGGACCCGCACAAGUGGUGGAGCAUGUGGUUUAAUUCGAAGAUACGCGAAGAACCUUACCUAGCCUUGACAUUGAUUGAACACACUAGAGAUAGAGUGGUGCCCUUCGGGGAACAUGAAAACAGGUGCUGCACGGCUGUCGUCAGCUCGUGUCGUGAGAUGUUGGGUUAAGUCCCGCAACGAGCGCAACCCUCGUCCUUAGUUGCUAGCAGUUCGGCUGAGCACUCUAAGGAGACUGCCUUCGUAAGGAGGAGGAAGGUGAGGACGACGUCAAGUCAUCAUGGCCCUUAUGGCUAGGGCUACACACGUGCUACAAUGGGGCGUACAGAGUGUUGCGAUACCGCGAGGUGGAGCUAAUCACUUAAAGCGUCUCUCAGUUCGGAUUGGAGUCUGCAACUCGACUCCAUGAAGCUGGAAUCACUAGUAAUCGUAGAUCAGCAAUGCUACGGUGAAUACGU